rnacentral:rRNA from 1 species
GCCGCUACCUGAUUGAUUCUGUCAGUGGCGAUAUGCUUAUGUUAAAGAUUAAGCCAUGCAUGUAUUAGAACGGUCUCACGACCUAUCUGCGAACGGCUCAUUACAACAGUUAAAAUCCGCAUGACGAUUGUUUUCUGGAUACUUUCAGUAAUUCUGGAGCUAAUACGUACUCGUGCUUCGGCACCACUUAUUAGAUCGACCAACCGCUUCGGCGUUUUGUGUUGACUCUGAAUAUUUUGCAGACCGCAUGCGUAAGCGGCGGCGUGUCAUGCGAUUAACUGCCCUAUCAACUUUUGAUGGUAGUUUAGUUGACUACCAUGGUGAUAACGGGUAACGGAGGAUCAGGGUUUGACUCCGGAGAGUAUGCCUGAGAGACGGCAAACACAUCUAAGGAAGGCAGCAGGCGCGCAAAUUACCCACUCUCAAUUCGAGGAGGUAGUGACAACAACUAACGAGACUGCUCCCUAUGGGAACAGUCAUCGAAAUGGGUACAAUUUAAACCCUUUAACGAGGAUCUAUGAGAGGGCAAGUCUGGUGCCAGCAGCCGCGGUAAUUCCAGCUCUCAAAGUGUAUGUCAUUAUUGCUGCGGUUAAAAAGCUCGUAGUUGGAUCUGAGCUCGUGAAUCCAGUCCACCUCUGUGUGGUACUGGCAUUCUGAGUUAAAUUCGUCGGCUUGCCGGCGAGAGUUACUCUGAAUAAAUCGGAGUGCUCAAAACAAGCGUUUCGCUUGAACGUUUUUGCAUGGAAUAAUGGAAAAGGAAUUCGAUUCCUUACUGUUGGUUUCGGAAUUGAAUUAAUGAUUAAGAGGGACCAACGGGGGCAUGCGUAUCGCUGCGCGAGAGGUGAAAUUCAUGGACCGCAGCGAGACGGCCUACAGCGAAAGCAUUUGCCAAGAAUGUCUUCAUUAAUCAAGAACGAAAGUCAGAGGUUCGAAGGCGAUUAGAUACCGCCGUAGUUCUGACCGUAAACGAUACCAUCUAGCGAUCCGGCGGCGGUAUUUUUGCCUCGCCGGGGAGCUUUCCGGAAACGAAAGACUUCCGGUUCCGGGGGUAGUAUGGUUGCAAAGCUGAAACUUAAAGGAAUUGACGGAAUCGCACCACCAGGAGUGGAGCCUGCGGCUUAAUUUGACUCAACACGGGAAAACUCACCCGGCCCGGACACCGUAAGGAUUGUCAGACUGAAAGCUCUUACUUGAUUCGGUGGUUGGUGGUGCAUGGCCGUUCUUAGUUGGUGGAGCGAUUUGUCUGGUUUAUUCCGAUAACGAGCGAGACGCACGCCUACUCAAUACGACCCGAGUAAUUUCGCUCGGUGUCGUUCUUAGAGGAAUGGGCGGUAUAGAACCGCAUGAAAGUGCGCAAUAACAGGUCUGUGAUGCCCUUAGAUGUCCGGGGCUGCACGCGUGCUACACUGGGGUCUGCAACGUGCUCCAUGGCCGAAAGGUCAUUGGUAAACCGUUGAAAGGACUCCGUGAUCGGGAUCGGGAAUUGCAACUAUUUCCCUUGAACGAGGAAUUCCUAGUAAGUGUGAGUCAUCAUCUCGCUUUUAAUACGUCCCUGCGAUUUGUACACACCGCCCGUCGCUACCCGGGACUGAACCGUUUCGAGAAAUCCAGGGAAUCGCCCGCCGGGUUCGCCUGUGCGAGUGGUGAACUGGCGUGAUCGCGACGGUUUGAACCGGGUAAAAGUCGUAACAAGGUACCGGUAGGUGAACCUGCAGC